rnacentral:rRNA from 1 species
GUGCCUACGGGAGGCAGCAGUGAGGAAUAUUGGUCAAUGGGCGCAAGCCUGAACCAGCCAAGUCGCGUGAGGGAUGACGGUCCUAUGGGUCGUAAACCUCUUUUGUCAGGGAGCAAAGGCGUCCACGAGUGGACGAAAGGAGAGUACCUGAAGAAAAAGCAUCGGCUAACUCCGUGCCAGCAGCCGCGGUAAUACGGAGGAUGCGAGCGUUAUCCGGAUUUAUUGGGUUUAAAGGGUGCGUAGGCGGAGUGUCAAGUCAGCGGUAAAAUUUCGGGGCUCAACCCCGUCGUGCCGUUGAAACUGUG